AACAUCUAUUGUCUUUAUCUCUGACCUAGGUGGAGGUGAUGUUGAGGCUGGAGAAGGAUUGCUUGACAAGCAAAGAACCACAACUGCUGAUCUGAUCUAUGGAAAAGUUGGUGGCUCCAUUGUUCUGAAUCCAGGUCAGAUUUCAGAGCCUAUUGAGACAGUAACAUGGAGGCACAAAUUGGACCUGACCUCAAAGUGUUCUUGGCAGG